rnacentral:lncRNA from 1 species
AAAAGCCGCGUGAACAGUAAGAAACACUGCAGUCCUUUUACAACGCGUGGCAGGCAGAAGACCCAGGAGAAGCAUGCCACAGGGCCAAGAGCUGCUCGGUGAGCUAGAAGCUCAUUGGCUGAGAGGGCAAUGAGACAGGUGAACGUUAAGGCUGCUGCCAAAGACAGGUGAAUGAAUAAACAAACUGUGAUUGACUCAGACAGGAGGACCGCGGCCAUGGAAAGCGAAGAGCCAUAAAGGCAGUAACAUAUGGAGGAAAGCUGCAGCACGGAUCUAAGUGAAAGAAGCCGUGCUGACAAGACCACAUGGUCUGUGAGUCCAAAUGCGAGAUUUGGGGAGAAAUAAGACUCUGCCAAGAGUUAAAAGUUGGUGGCUGGCUAUGGUGCGCUAGAGCAAUGGAUGAAUAGCCAGAGCAGGGUGCCCCUAGGUACUGGAAAUACUCUUUAAUGGUGUCGCAGUAGAGAAACCUGCACUGUGAAUUUGCCCCAACAGGUAAAGUGUACACAGAGUGUGCCUCCUGAUGUAACCCGGGGGUUCUGAGGUAUGAUGAUGAAGCGUGGGAGCAGAUGGGGUGGGAAUCUGUAUUCUCCACCGAGUUGAAUGUGAACGUGUUUUGGGACAUCCAGCUGAAUAUCGCGGUAAAAGAAAAUCUGUCUCUCCUUCACUACUCUGACUCCAGGCUCUGGAGUAUGGCCAGCAGGUGUCUUCCUUAGGACUUUAAAGGGGGGCGUUUAGUCAGGACGGGCUCACAGGUUCAGAGGUUCAGUCCAUUAUCAUCACAGCGCAAAGCAUGGCAGCGUCCAGGCAGGCAUGGUGCUGGAGAGGAGCUGAGAGUUCUCCAUCUUGAUCCACAGGCAGAAGGAGGAGACUGUGUCCCAUUGGCCAGACUUGAGCUUCUUAGACCUCAAAGCCCACCUCCACCUUGACAUACUUUCUCCAACAAGGUCACACAUCCUAAUAGUGUCACUCCCUAUGGCCAAGCAUUCAAACACAGAAGUCUGUGGGGGCCAUUCCUGUUCAAAGCACCACACCAGGCCCCUGAGUGAAGAGACAGAGAUCCUAGAGCUCAGACAGAGUGAGGGGAGCUAACCAAGAUGGCGGGACCUGAGCUGUUUCCUCACCACGUGGGGCAGGGCUGGGGGAGGAGAGGACCUGGGGCGCUGGCUUCACUUGCUGAUUUACACCUUCCCCGAGGACAACAAUAGCAUGCAAUUGGUGUGAUUUGUUUUUAUUAAACACAAUACAAUAUGGUGCCACGGGUAAAUGGACACAAGAUAAUGAGCCUGGGCUCUAUGGCUUUGCCUUUCUCAAAGUGCGUCCUGGACUCCGCUCCUGGAAGAGAUGGUGGAAUUAUUGGGGGAAUGUUCUAGAGAAGUGAAGACAGUCACAGAGGAAUAAAGAGAAACCAAGGCUGAGAUGUCUCAGGUGUGCAUUGCUCAGAUGCUCAGAUGCUGAACAGGUCUGAAUUCCUCUCCUCUCUAGUAAUAGUCAUGAAGAGGGAGAGGAAGCGAGGAGGUAGCUCACCGGUAGAUACCUUUCCUAACAUCAGUACAGCCCUGGGUUGCUACCCAGCAUCACAUACGUACGGAAUGGAUGAUAGGGGAAGAGAGGCUCUUCAAUUUCUGAGCCUUGAGUAUGAAGAGGUAAAAAGAACUGUGGAAUAAUCCCAGCGAUGGUUAUGUUCAUGGGUUAUGGGUGGAAGGGUGUGCAUUUGUAUCGGAGUGAAAGAUAGCAUCCCUCAGGUGCAAUCCUCAUCUUUAUUUGUUGAUACAGGGUCUAUCAUUGCCCUGCAACUUGCCAAGUAGGCUAGGCUACUGGCCAGCUAGCCCCAGCAACCUGCCUCCCCGCUGCUGGGAUUACAGGCAUGCCCACCUGACAGUUUCUGCUGGCCUUUGAAAACAUCCCCCUAGCUCCUUCUCAUACCUGGGAAGGCUGUUUCCAGACUAGCCAGCAGCAGAUGGGAGGAUUGAGUGCAACUGUGAUGACAUCAGUUUACCGAGCCUUUGAAACGAAAGGGAUCGAUCUGAUUAUUCAUUUUGUACCUUCAGAGGGGAAGUAGGUGAAGGCCUGAGGCGGAACCAUCAUGGAAGCGAGCAUCUUAGUCACCCAAGACCUCAGAAGCUAGGGUUCUUAGAGCUGAAGGUGGUUUGGAAGGAUGCAGCCCU